rnacentral:rRNA from 1 species
AGGUGCGAUCAUACCAGCACUAAUGCACCGGAUCCCAUCAGAACUCCGUAGUCACGCGUGCUUGGGCGAGAGUAGUACUGGGAUGGGUGACCUCCUGGGAAGUCCUUGUGCUGCACCUC